CAGCUUCAUGCAUCUUAUUUUUCAGUGGACACACACACAUUAACUGAUUUCUUACAUGUCCUAACAAGGCUGAGUGAGAUGGCCACCUUAGACUACUAGUUUUGUAUGUGCUGAGAAGGAAGCAAAUAGUCUUGUAGAGCUUGGGAGCAGGUAGACCUGAAGAAAAACAUGUGAAAAGAGAAAGCUUCCCAAAAGCUCGAACUAUUCUUCUAAUUCCAGUUCCUUUUCCUGCCAUGAUACAUCAAUUCAAACAAACUGCCAUCCUUGACUCUUUCAUCUUCCAAAUCUUGGCACCCGCUCAUUUGCUUAUGACCAAUCAGGUUGCUCUUAUGCAAAAUAGCUCCUCUCCUGGUGCUGCUGCUCCCUGAGAACCACAAAAUGGCUGCUCACACGCCAGCCCUAUAAGGUAGGUCAAAUCUGGAACUUUGUUUAUUAAUUAUAGUUGGCAUGAAUGCUCACCAGGCCAUUCCCUCUCAAUUUAUUGUGGUCUAAAAUCCAUAACAUGCUCACCAAUGGUUCCUCUUCAUCCUGGAAAGAAGUGACUAAUGGGCUGGGGCAUUCUUCUCAAGUCUGCAGAUUGGGAUGAAUAGCUAAUACUCCAGAAGACAGGAUCAAACUGACCUUAAUAGAUUAGAGAACUGGGCCAAAACUAACAAAUUUCAACAACGAAAAAUGUAGUAUCCUACACUUUUGGUCUACAGAUUUAGUAUUAAAAUGCUGUUGUUGCUGCUGAAAAACAUCUAGCUAGACCGGGGACAUGGGGGGAAAGGGCUGGGUAGGUGUAAAAAGACUGUAAAAAUAGCUUAUGUUAGGAACACUUCUUUAUUAACUGAGGUAUACCUGUGAAUGUAAAUAAAUAUCUCCCUUCCUUUUCUAGUGGGCAAUAAUUUGAUCAUAGCACGUGAUACAGCUAUAUGCUUCCAAGUAAUUAAAGCCAUCAGAUUUAAACAGUAUCUAUUAUCCUAUAUUUUAUAUUUUAUCUGCCAUGUAUCUGUUUGGCAAGUUAUUUUCUGGGAUAGACAGAUGGUUGACAUGGAAACCAAGAAACGCAGUUACUCAUGAUGAGUCAGUCUGCAUUUGUAUACUGAACCUCAGGGGAAUGCUGAGAACAAUAACUCAUUUGUGAACAUAGUUAUUAUCCACCCUGGGACCACACCUUUAACACAAGUUCUGGAAUUGCCUAACAUUCUUCAUUUAAAGAGAUAUUAAUGGGCCCUGGAAUAGGGAUAACAAGGGGGGCCCAGUCCCCAAUUCUAAGCUAGAAGGGUCCUCCAUGAGGCAGUGAGAUAAAUUGCAUUGCUAAAACCCUCAGGAAUUAUUAAAUGUUUACUAAAUACGUAAUCAAGAACACAUACACAACUAUUGAAGUAGUAGACGGCUAAUGUAACUGAGUUUCCCAUUGCUGUGACUGCGCCUUCGGGGAUUAUGGUUGAUGGUGAUGGAAUUCGAAGAGGAAGAAAAAACCCUCGUGAUGAGGGUUCACUGGAGGAGUUGCGCAGGAAGCGACUUAGAGAGCUAUAUGGGGGAUCUUCUGAGGAAGAUUCAGAUGGGGAGAUGGAUGCUGAGGAACAGGUGGUGGCUGGGGAAGCGGGCACUGAAUGGGCACAGCCACCGGAGAUGUCUGGGGAUUUGGGGCCUAUGGAUACUUCUGAACCUGGGGUUUCUGCAGGAACUGAUCCCAAUUGGGAUGCUUGGAGAAGGGAGGAUGGUUCUUUAAGUGUUCAUGGGGCUAAGUGUGGGCAGGAUGAUUGGGACUCCAACGAAUUGCUAGGUACUCCAGAUCCAUGAGCUCUAGCUGUGGGGAGUUCAGACUCUUGAGUAGAUUUGGGACACCUGGUGUUUGGGUGUGAGUGUUUGGUCACCCAGGAGGAAGGGGAAUAAAAUGGGAAUGUUUGGCCACUGCACUUUGCGUGUGGCAAGGUGUUGCUGAGGCGCCAUUGGGAUCUCUGUGUUUCCAUGAAGACUGGACUUGGACUAUGAUUUGAAUCUGCUGAUAUCAUCUAGCUUAGCUCUUGCUGUGUCUUAUCGUGGACCUGUUUUGGAUGACUGCACCCUCUUCGGACUUUGGAUUGAAUUUGACCUGGCUUCUAUCUACGCCCUCUGAAUGACGGCUACUCCCGGCUUCUGACUAUUGGUUUGUCUUUCGGAAUUUCUGCUGCCUCCUGACCUGAUCUUGGAUUCUUCUGACGACGGCUAUUCAUCAUCCCUUUGAGGCUCUCGGCUUAUCUGCACCGUGGAAGCAGCUUUACUGCUUUUCUAGUUUGUUUAUUUUACAGCAAUUAACUCUAUUUGUUUUCCAAAGCUGAAUUGAAGCGUUAUUUAGUUUUUUAUUGAAUGCCAGCAUGGGAAAUUAACGUGGCUCGUUUUUGAGUUAUUAUUGUCCAAUCUACUCUCGAAACACUGAAAAGUGAAGUGUUUCAAGGAUAUUUCCUGUGUUUAUGUUAUUUUUUGGCUUAUCUUCGGAAUAAACUUUGUUUUGUAUGUUAACUGGCGUCUGACUCUUGACACCCAUGAACAGUAAAAUCUGCUGAACACGAGAAGGGAGACCCUUGAAAUACACAUUAUAUUUGCAAGAAUCUUUGUAUUUAAAAAAGACUACAUUAUAACUAACAGUGAAAUAAUUUGCUCUCUGCCAGUUCCAAAUUUCCU